rnacentral:rRNA from 1 species
AUUGAACGCUGGCGGCAUGCUUUACACAUGCAAGUCGAACGGUAACAGGCCUUCGGGUGCUGACGAGUGGCGAACGGGUGAGUAAUGCAUCGGAACGUACCCAGAGGUGGGGGAUAACGCAGCGAAAGCUGUGCUAAUACCGCAUGUGAUCUGAGGAUGAAAGCGGGGGACCGAGCAGCAAUGUUUGGCCUCGCGCCUUUGGAGCGGCCGAUGUCGGAUUAGCUAGUUGGUGGGGUAAAGGCCUACCAAGGCGACGAUCCGUAGCUGGUCUGAGAGGACGACCAGCCACACUGGGACUGAGACACGGCCCAGACUCCUACGGGAGGCAGCAGUGGGGAAUUUUGGACAAAGGGCGCAAGCCUGAUCCAGCAAUGCCGCGUGCGGGAAGAAGGCCUUCGGGUUGUAAACCGCUUUUGGCAGGAACGAAACGGUGUCCGCUAAUACCGGGCGGUAAUGACGGUACCUGCAGAAUAAGCACCGGCUAACUACGUG